UCUCCAACGGUCUGAGGGACAGUAAACUGGCCCUCUGUUUAAAAAGUUUGAGGACCCCUGGAUUAAUGCCUUCCUGGCAGGGUGGUGAGUUUUCACUCUAUUAGUUCCUAAGAGAGCUCGUUGUUAAAGAGCCUGGUACCUGCCCCCCUCUCUUCCUUCCACUCUCACCAUGUGAUCUCCACACAAGCCAGCUCCAUGAGGGCCUGCCACCAAGAGUAGAAGCAGCCUGAGGCCCUCACCAGAGGCAGAUGCCCAAUCUUAAAUAUUCCAACUAUCUGAAACAUGAGCCAAAUAUACCUCUUUUCUUUAUAAGUUACCCAGCCUCAGGUAUUCCUUUAUAGCCACAUUAAACAGACUGAAAUAAUUAUAUAAAUAUAUGGCUUAUUCCAUUAACUCAUUAGGACAGCAAUGUGAAGAAAGUAUGGUGAGUCCCAUUUCACAGAUGACCAAUCUCCAGCACAAAGAGACUAAGACCCUCUCCAGAUUAAUGGCAGGACUGGAAUGAGGUUCCACCUCUUGCCCUCCCCCACAAUAUAACCAGCAGCUUCCCAUUUGGAAGAUGAUGGUUUUACACUUCCCCAGUGUGGGACCCUAUGAGUACUCACUCAACAAUCCCUCAUGAUGAAGAAGAGGAUGGUGGUGCCUACAAGAACUUGAGAGCUGCAAAUUUCCAGCCUUGAAGGGGGACCAUGGUGCGGCCUGUGAGACAUAAGAAACCAGUUAAUUACUCACGGUUUGAAAAGGACUCUGACAGCGAUGAUGAUUUUGUUUCUGCAACUAUACCUUUAAACAAGAAAUCCAGACCAUGGGAGUUAAAACAAGACAACCCAAAACCUAACUUGAAGACUCUCCAGAGUAAGGACAUCCCACUGCAAGAGACAACCCCUAAAAAAAGAAUGGCUUUAGAUGACAAGCUCUACCAGAGAGACUUAGAAGUUGCACUAACUUUAUCAGUGAAGGAGCUGCCAACAGUCACCAUUGAUGUGCAGAAGUCUCAAGAUAAAAGCAUUGAAGGACGUGGCAGUAGUAAAACAGAAACAAUGAAUAAGUCUCCUCAUAUCUCUAAUUGCAGUGUGGCCAGUGAUUAUUUAGAUUUAGAUAAAAUUACUAAAGAAGAUGAUGUUCGUGGUGUUCAAAGGAAAAGAAAAGCAGCAUCUAAAGCUGUGGUACAGGAGAGGAAGAUUCUUUUGGAAGGCAGCAAUAGUGACAGUGCUGAUGACACUGAACCAGACUUUGCAACUGGUGAAGAUUCUGAGGAUGAUUCUGAUUUUGGUGAGGGUGGAGAUAAUGAUGAAGACUUCACUAUGAGAAAAAGUAAAGUUAAAGAAAUUAAAAGGAAAGAAGUGAAGAUAAAAUCCCUGAUAGAACAGAAACAGAAGAAAUCUAAAUGCAAAUGUAGUGCUUUGGUGACUUCAGCAGACUCUGCUCCAGCUGCUGUCAAAUCAGAAUCUCAGUACUCAAAAAGGUUUCUCUUUCUUCAGAGGCCUCUAGAAAGCCAUUACAAAUAUUCAGUCCCUCAGCUGAAAGCAAGAGACCUAAGUGGGUGCCACCAGCGGCAUCUGGAAGUAGCAGCAACAAUAGCGGCCCACUGACAGGAGUGUUCGUUAAGUCUCCAAAUCAGAGUCUCCAUCUUGGCUUGUCCAGAUUAGCACGAGUUAAACCUUUGCAUCUAAGUGCCACUAUCAGCAGAGUGUAGUAGCAGAUUGAGAGAAUCAGUUUUACAAGUGUGUUUAUAUUUGAGGAGGGUAUUGUAAUAUAAAGGAAUCCUUUAACAUGUUAUAUAAAUGACCUGUACCCAUUCUGUGAUUGUGCUCUCUGGAAAGCUAUUCAAGACUUCAGUAAGAGAUUUGUUAAUGAGGAUUAUUUUCUUGUGCCAUUUCCUUCUGAAGAGCUAUUCUAUCUUCCUGUCAGUUUGACUUGGAGGAAGUCCACAUCACACGCUAUUCUUUUCUGGUAAUGUUAUAUUCCUUUCUAGUUCUGUCUGGUUUAUGCACCUUAACUUUAACUGUUCAGAGUUUUUGUGGCAAAAGGAAAAGUCCCCAUUUCUUUCAGGAGACAUUUCUGAAAUCUUACAAGCUACUUAAGCUAUAUUGUAGUUUUAUUGCAGAGAUGUUUUGUAUUUUAGCCAAAUCGUUUUAUAGUAAGAAUUCAGAAUUAUUUUAUACAUUCAAAUGGUUCUGUAUUAUGGCAUAUGUCUCCUACUUAAAAGUAGAUGGUUAUUCUAUAGCAAAUAGAAUUUAAUAUCAUUUUAUAAAAUCUUUCUUCAUUGUCAAAACCUUUAAUAAAAGUGGAAAAGCUUUGAAAUGCUCUUUUUCUUGAUACCAUUGCAUCUACAUUUGUCUCUGAUUUUCUAUAUUUCAUGAUAAAACAAGAGCUCUGCAAAGAAUGGUAGCC